CCAUGAUUUGGCCUUCAUUUCUCUUUUUCAGGAGUCCUGGUGUCUAUACUUCUCUAUAUGUUGGCUUCAUCCUGAGGCUACAAAGAAUCUACAAUAGAUCUUCUCCAGCAGCUCUGGAGGUCAGACCCAGCUGUGGAGAGAAUCAUUCCUAGAAAACUGGAAGGCAUGUUGGGAACUACUACUUUCUGUGGAUGAAUGGGAAAUUCAAGACAGAAAAUGGAUGGGCAGUAUGGAAAUACCACUGUUUAGGUUUCUCGUGCAUAACAAUGGGGACGAUACUGGUCAUGUGGUAACUGACAACAUGUUUUGCCAGGACGAUUAAAUAUCAUUGAUGCUUCUGGUCUACAAUUAGUCACAGAAGAGAUAAAAAAAUGAUAAGUAUUCAAGAAAGAAAGUGUUUGCUUUAACAUAUGAAGAAAAGGAGCUUCAGAGUGGUGAUUAACCCCAGAAUUGUGUGGAACGGAUAUGGAAACAAGACCACAGGAGCAUCGAGAACUGAGCAGAACUGAAGGUGACAUGAAAAUCAGCUGCAAGAUUCACCUCAGGGUGAUAAUGGGCUGCAGGUGGCUGCAGGAAUCCCGGGACAUUCUAGGCACUGCCAUAUUUUCCUAGGGGCCAGUAAGGAUGGCUAUCAUCAGAUGUACCUGAUGAUACAAACAUGGGCUGUCUUGCCUUCUAGUAUUCAUUCUUGGUGAUUGCAUCCAGAGCUCACUUUGGAGGUGCGGAUCAACUCUUCUUCAGGCUCAUCCAUGCGACUUGAGCGGUCUCUCAUCCCCAUUCCCAGGGGCUUAUGACAAUCAAGGUUUCCACUCCUCCAUGGUCUCAAUGGUUUUUCUCCCCAUGGGAAGCACAUAAUCCCAUUAGAGGCCACGGGAAGCUUUUUUGUUGGGCUUUGAGGGAAAAAAGGCUUUUGCAGCCAAUGAAUUGAUCAAUGUGUAUUUCAACCUGGAUUGUAUGCAUGCAUCUCCUAGAUUGGGCGGAUGAUGAAGUGAGGCUGGAAGUGCUGAGCAUCUUCCUACCUGGGAUGACUGGGCUGAGCAGGAAGCCUACCCCAGGGUUCCAGCCAAGUUGGAGCCUGUGGGUGUGCGGUGUAGUUUAACGCCCUGAUUAAAUCACUAGGAAGCCAUUUCUCUGUCUCCUCCCAGACCAGAUCAGACAAUAUGUUCCCUUAUUUCUACUAAAGCCCCAAUUGGAUUUUGUGUCUUUUGAUACUGAAAGAACCUUACCACAAAUAAAAUAAUUUGUCAUGUGACUCCUACAUAUUUAUUCAGUUACAUAAACUAACUAAACUAAAUA
rnacentral:lncRNA from 1 species